GACGAACGCUGGCGGCGUGCUUAACACAUGCAAGUCGAACGAAGUGGCGAACGGGUGAGUAACGCGUAAUCAACCUGCCCUUCAGAGGGGGACAACAGUUGGAAACGACUGCUAAUACCGCAUACUGAAGGAGGGGAUUGCGUCUGAUUAGCUAGUUGGGGGGGUAACGGCCCACCAAGGCGAUGGUCAGUCGGCGGUCUGGGAGGAUGAACGGCCACAUUUGGGCUUGGACACGGCCCAGACUCCUACGGGAGGCAGCAGUGGGGAAUCUUCCGCAAUGGACGAAAGUCUGGCGGAGCAACGCCGCGUGAGUGAUGACGGCCUUCGGGUUGGAAAGCUCUGUUAAGCGGGACGCGGUACCGGAAUAGAAAGCCACGGCUAACUACGUGCCAGCAGCCGCGGUAAUUC
rnacentral:rRNA from 1 species